ncrna:unclassified sequences S15-Flavobacteria ribosomal protein leader
UAUAUUUGCGGCUUUAUUAGUAAAUACAUAAAAACUAUUAAAAUUAAUAUUGGCAUG